rnacentral:rRNA from 1 species
UGAGGAACAUGACCUUCGGCGGGGGAUAGCCGGCCCAACGGCCGGGUAAUACCGCGUACGACCACAUGGGGACAUCCCUGAGUGGUGAAAGCAGCAAUGCGCCGAUGGAGUGCCUCGCGGCCUAUCAGCUAGUUGGUGAGGUAACGGCUCACCAAGGCAACGAUGCGUAGCCGACCUGAGGAGGGUGAUCGGCCACAUUGGAACUGAGACACGGUCCAGACCUCGUACGGGGAG